ensembl:lncRNA
GGAUUUUGUUCCGCUCAUAUGAAAACCGUCUCAAAUGCCUCCAUUGAUGACUAGUCCGACGUCACCUGACUCCAGUGUCUAAAGCAGAAUCUCCUCCUUGGCGAUAACGUCUGAAUGCAGGCUUCUGGGGCCACAGGGACAGCCAUGUGUUCCGUGAACUACAAUGCGUGUUAUCACUUCACUUGUCUCACCCAACCCACCAUGGUUGCUUAUUUGCUGACUCCAAGGGCUCUGUCGAUUGUUUUAAAGGUGAAGGAGAGUACAGAAAUAAUGACAACACAACGAGGCUGAGGCACGGGAAUCGCUAGAACCGGGAGACAGAGGAUGCAGUGAGCUGAGAUCGUGCCACCGCACUCCAGCCUGGCGACAGAGCAAGACUCCAUCUCCAAAAAAGGAAAAAGAAACUGACAACACAAAAUUAAAGUUAAAUUAAAAUGUAAAAAAAUAAGCACAGGACUAAUCUUUCUCUGGCUUGAUUUUAAAAUGUUAGUUCCAAGUGCUUUAGGUUGGAGAGGU